GUUCCCGUGGAGGGUGAUAGCUGCCGCCGCCAUUUUCCGAGGGGGCUGCGGGGUCCCGCUGGGAACGGCACUCGGUUCUGGUGACAUGGAGGCCUCUCUUGUUGCCUCCUUGAUGGGUCAGUGGAGGGCCUGAUGCUGCUGAGGGCCACGACUGCUCUUGAGGGUGUGCUGAUUUGGGUGUGGAGUAUUUUCCCACAAAUCAAACAGGACUAUCCACACUAUAUUUAUACACAAAGCUUGAAAAGUUACUAAUUUUCCGAAUCCAUCUUGUUUACAAUGAUUGUUAAUAAGUUACAUAGAGUUACAAUGUCAUUAACAAUCCUUUUGCAACUAUGCAUGCUCAAGGGGCAAAUAAUAAAAUAAAAGGGUCGGCAGGAGUGAUUAUAAUGAGGGUAGUUCAAUUAAGGGUCUCUUAGUUUCCCAGUUUUCUUGCUGAAUUGGCAAUGCACAUAAAACAUCCUGAUUAAUGUUCUCCUCAAGGCCUACUUGCUCCAGGAUGUCCUUGGUUAAAGGAUGUUCAUCUGAGCAGGGAUGAUUAAUUGCCCUUUGCUUGUCAGCUUAACGUAUACAACAAACAUCUUCAGCUAGCUAAGUUUUUACAGCUUGUCUUCAACAAUGGUGUGGGUCUACAUGGUGUAUUAGCUGAUGGGACCUGUGCACUGGAGAAAACCAUGAGCAGGACCUCACUGAGGCCUCCUCACCCUUCCAGUGUGGCACCAGAUGGCCCUACUAUGGGCACCAGGCCACCGGAGUGAGCUCUUUGUUCACCUUUUGCUGCUGUGAGCCAUGCUGGCUGAAGACAAGGCAUCACACACCACUGCCUGGAUAUUUCCUUCCUGGUGGGGAACUUGGUCAGUGCCUGGCUCUCAUUACCUUUCCGAAAAAAUGGACACCUCUUGUACUUCCAGUGAGGGGCAGCAACAGGAGUGUGGAACUACAGCACAAUGCUGGUGAUGCAUGAUUUCUAGUUGGGAGCAUUGCCCAACUGGAGCCGCAUGCCAUGGGCUUGCUGGGUUUUUAAUAUUCCAUUUUUCAGUAGGUUUUGUUAAUGGGUGUUUGCAGGUUUGGGUGGGAUAGUGAACCUCAGCAGCACCUGUCAGUUCUGACUUUGACCUUCCUACUAGGACACCUAUGAAAACUAUGGAUGGUUCCAGUCACUGGAGAAGAGGCAUUUCUUGUCCUCAUCUGCAAGUCCUAUAAAGGUCUGCAGGAAACAGAGGCUUUUAGAUAUCGCGUGGAUAUACUACAAUUUAAACACUCCCAGAAAUGCAAAACCAGUUCCUCUAACAGAAGGCAAAAAUUCCGGGCAGCUGUCCAAGAUAUUAUUUCAAUCCAUCUCAGGUGAUCAGAAGCUUCAUCUUUUCUAGUUAAUUGUUUCCUGUGCCUGACUCUUGUCCGAUAUGGAAGUGCACUGAUGAAAACUUGGCUCAAGAACGUCUCAAGUUAUUAGAAUGUAAGCAGGAAAAAUCACCUUGGAGCUAGACAUGCCUACCCCCUCCCCUCCCUGCAAGUUUCA